AUGGCCCAGUGAUCACAGCAGCAGGGAGAGAGCCUCCUCACUGACUUUGGGGAGCUAGAAAACAGAAAAGACCUAAUCACUAGCAAGUUAGUUUCUCCAAAACCAGGUAGUCUUCCUGAAGAAAACACUAAUACAAACACCAUUGGCCCCAAAUCUGUAGACACUGUGCUAGAUGACAGAGAAGAUCUUUUUACAGAAGCUAUUAUACAAAAGAAAUUUCUUUGAAAUUCCAGGAGAUUUUUCCUCUCUUUCGAAUCCUCUCCUGAAACGAAUGACCUGCUGUCACCCGUACUACACUCAUUGCUCCUAGAGCUGAAUUAGAGGAAAUGUGCUUCUGUGAUCUCUGACAAAUCUGGGAGUAUAUUAAAAAGAAGCAAAUAGAAGAUAUUUUUGAUAUAUAAAUUGACGUGUCAGAUCCAGAGCUGUUUAACGUAGCAUACAGAGUAACAACAAAGACUUCCUUCUUGAUAAAAAUUUUGAGAUGAUUUUCUUGCUUUGUACAGCAAAUAGCAAGGAAAUAUUUAAAUGUUAGUUAUAUUUUUCCACCAGUUCUAAAAAAGAGUAUUACAGACAUGACCAAAUUUAACGUAUUUUAAAAAGCUUCGUCAUCCAGUCAAUUUUUAGAAAAAUGAAAAACAUCUCUGGAAAGUUAUUUUCAGUUCACA
rnacentral:lncRNA from 1 species